ACUGUUCAGUAACACGUGGAUAACCUGCCCUGCGGUGGGAAAUAACCCCGGGAAACUGGGGAUAAUGUCCCAUAGGCUACAGAUGCUGGAAUGCUCUGUAACUCAAAGAUUUAUCGCCACGGGAUGGGUCUGCGGCCGAUUAGGUAGUUGUUGGGGUAACGGCCCAACAAGCCUUUGAUCGGUACGGGUUGUGGGAGCAAGAGCCCGGAGAUGGAUUCUGAGACACGAAUCCAGGCCCUACGGGGCGCAGCAGGCGCGAAAACUUUACAAUGCGGGAAACCGUGAUAAGGGAACUCCGAGUGUCCGUAAAUGCGGACUGUCCGUAUGUUUAAAAAGCAUGCGAAGAAAGGGCCGGGCAAGACCGGUGCCAGCCGCCGCGGUAAUACCGGCGGCUCGAGUGGUGGCCACUAUUACUGGGCUUAAAGCGUUCGUAGCUGGGUUGUUAAGUUUCUUGGGAAAUCUACCGGCUUAACCGAUAGGCGUCCAAGGGAUACUAGCAAUCUAGGGACCGGGAGAGGUGAGGGGUACUUCAGGGGUAGGAGUGAAAUCCUGUAAUCCUUGGGGGACCACCUGUGGCGAAGGCGCCUCACCAGAACGGCUCCGACAGUGAGGGACGAAAGCUGGGGGGAGCAAACCGGAUUAGAUACCCGGGUAGUCCCAGCCGUAAACGAUGCGCGUUAGGUGUAUCGAUGACCACGAGUCAUCGAGGUGCCGAAGGGAAACCGUGAAACGCGCCGCCUGGGAAGUACGGUCGCAAGGGCUGAAACUUAAAGGAAUUGGCGGGGGAGCAC
rnacentral:rRNA from 1 species